CAGCUCCGUUGUUUCGCCCGCGGCGUGCCGAUGCACGCCCGUUAUCUUGGACGUCGGUUUGAAUCUCGACAGCGAAUCCAUCUGGAAGAGAAAGAAACGGCGUUGCCCGCAGAUAGAUUUGGACACCUCUCCGAGCAAGCGGAGAGAUUGCGAUUUCCUCAUUGUUCUCUGAGUUCUCUCUGGGAUACAUUCCAAAAUCCUAUAUUGCUGAUCAAAAAAACUAUAGUAACGUAAAAUAAUAGCAUUUUAGUAACCAAGUGUCCCGUGAAGAAAGGGAAAGAUUUGCGCGACGCAGUCUCCAAAGUUUUUUUUCGAAAACACACCGUGUCGUGUUUCUGCUUUUGCGAACAAUAAUUGCGAACAUAUCUGCGCCGCGCCGGUGUGGAAGGGAAUCACGCGAGUGAUGGGGCACUUGCGCAACACGGUAUUUUGCGACUUCCGUGUAUUAUUAUAUUACAGAGAAUGCACACGUAUUUAUCUCUUUUGUCCAGUAGUUUUCUAUAAAUGUAUACAUCAUCUAGUACGUAAUAUUAGAUAUUUGAAAUAAAAAGCGGUAUAUUAUGAAGCAAAAAAAAAGAAAAAAAAAGAAAAAAGAAAAAAAAAGCAGAAUAAAGUGAAGCGACCAUAUGUUAAAGUGCGUUGUAACAUAUGUUUGAAUCUCUUAUGAAUAUUACAAAAUUUAUUUUAAAUUCAGCUAUAAAAAUCAAGAUAUUUAAAACCGACGAUAUGCAUAAUACAACAAUAUCUGCGU